UGUAAUUUACACUUGAGAGAAAUCUCAUGAUUGCUUUUAAAAUGAAUGCUUCACUGAUGUGGGCUGCAUUGAAACAUGAAUCACGACAUCCUGUAG